ACGAAACUAACUAUUGUGAUUUUAAUGUCAACCUGAAGCAAAAUAGUUUCAAAUAUAUCCUCUAUAUAUAUAUAUAGUAAAUCCUUUUCGUCAUUGCAGGAGCCAGGAACUUCUUGCACCGUGGGCGGGGAGUCGAUUACAAAUUCCGACCAAGUUCAUUAUAGGCGACCUGGACCUGGUUUAUCAUAUGCCAGGGGUGAAAGAAUACAUACACAAAGGUGGGUUCAAAAGAGAUGUGCCAUUGUUGGAGGAAGUAGUGAUAAUGGAAGGAGUUGGGCACUUCAUUAAUCAAGAAAAGGGUGAUGAGAUUAGCAAGCACAUUUAUGACUUCUUCAACAAGUUCUGAUUAGUUCUUUGCAUCUUCAUUCAUAUUUCCGCUUGGGUGUCUUUUUGUUUUAAUAAAGUUGCUGGGAUGUUCUUGUGCCGGCCUGUUCUAGUUUUUGAUUCACUAUAUACCAAGCUAUUAGUGGCUUCGACUUGUAAUUUCCGUAUUGUUGGAACAAUCAAAUAAUUUAGAGUGCCUUUGGUAUAUAAAGUUAUCUAAUAUAUAGAUAUUGAUAAAAGAAAUAUAUAUAAUUUCACAAACUAGUACAUGUAUUUAUAUAGUGUUAUAUAAAGUCAUCUUAAAAGUUUAAUAUUUGCAUUCUCUUUAAUUUUUUUUCUCAAUGUAAAUUCUAUAAAUAUUGUAUAAUAUACAAAUCAUUAUCCCAAACAAUCAUUAAAAAAAAAAUUGUUUCAUCAUGAAUUUUUAAAGCAGCAUAGCAUAUAUUGUUUAAAAUAUGGAAAUAAUUGUUACUAUGUAGAGCUAAGUUUCGUAAGAUAGUAUCUAGAAAAAAUUAAUCACUUAUUAUAAUGUUUACUUCAAUCUUAUUUAUAAUUUAAUCAAAUUAGGACUAAAUUUUUUUAUAACUAUAUAGAGAUUAUUCUUAUAUAGAGUACUACUAUAAUGAAAUUUUACUAUAAAGUAAAAUAUAUGUAAGCCCAUCUUUUGGUCUUAUUUAAUUUGUAUUAAAGUUUUAAAUGAAAAGAAGAAACGUGAGGACUAUGAUAAUUAUUAUGGAAAUAAAACAAAAAAGUUGAGCCCAAGUUUAAUUUACAAUGGAAGAAUACGAGAAAUAACAAAAAGGUUGUUUUCUACUCUUGUUCACAAAUUGUGCAUUUACUUCUUGCAUUAGAGAAUUGGAAUUAUUAACAAGUUUAUUUCACAAAAUGAGAGCGGAAAUCAGAAUACUCACCCCAAUUUGGGAAUGAAAAUUCUCAGGGGAUGGGAAUUAGAAUUAGAAAAAAACCCAGAUUAGGUUGGAGGCUUAAAGCCCCGGCACGCAUAGAUUGAGCCUAAAUAUGGGCCGCAAAAUUUAAAGUCCGCACAAGUUGGGUUAUGUCAUAAGAUGCCUUACAUAACAUUUUUUUUUUUACUGACCAUAAAAAUACCAAAUACCCUUUAUUCUUUUCUCAAAUUUUCAAUCAACCUCGUAGGGUUAUGAUGAAAUCAAUACAUGCUUAAUUGUGGGGAUGUCAAUGGCCAAAUCGGGCUAGGGCUAUGAGUCAGGGUCACCUCGAAAAUUUUGUGUACAUUUUGCUUGAAAUGCAGUUGCAGUGGAGUGGACAUCAUAAGAUCAAGCACUUCCUGGCCUUCGGCGUUUUUCAAUAUCAAAGUGUACAUCCAGGAGACCCGUUAUACCAGCUGUUAUCUUUUGACCAACUUUUACAGGGCCAACGCCCUGUGGAGUGCCUGCACAAACCGAAUCAAUAGAACAAUGUCAAACUUCAAUUAUCCAUAAAGACUUGCAUCCAAAACUGGGAGUGGAUUUGAAUAUGAUUAUGAAAAUUGGCGAGAAGGAUAUCUUAUGAAGUGAACACAGUAAAUAACAAUAAUGACACUAAUAACGUAACUUAUACACAGUGACAAUACACCUUCAUAAGCAUAAUAAGCUCUAACAUAUCAGUUAUCAGUAUUUAUACCAAGUAAAAUUGCGCGUAUAUGCUUCACCAAAGCAAAAAUGAAAUUUGGUAACAGAUUCCACUAUCAACUGAUAUGCCAGUUUAUGCCAAGACAUCAUAAUAUCUUGAAGCACCUAGAAAAAUUAACUUAUAAAGUAUGCUAGUGUUUUUAUUUGAAGGAAAAUGAACUGCAAUACCUGUUAAGUGUUAACAUGACAUCUCCUUGAACAAGUGUCACAAUUGAACUUAUGUGGCUAAUUAGAUAUGGUAUCUUAAAAAUCAUAUCCUUUGUGAAGCCUUUCUGUCGAAUCUCUCCAUCAACCUGCAGUGAAACACAUUUAAAGUUAAUCCACCCAGUGAAAAACAAAUUUGAAGCUUUGACAAAAGCCAUAAAGAAAUAUGAGAGUAAAGAGUAAUGAUUAUGAACCUUUAACCAUAGUUCUAAGUUGUGAGGGUCAGGCACUGCUGACUUUGGUAGCUGCAAAUAUAUUUUAAACAAGUCAAAAAGGAGUGUAUUUAGUAAACACAGAACAAAAUUGGCAACAGAAAAUAAAAUUCUCUUCCUCUCUUCUUUUCUACUAGCAGAUACAAGUAAAGGGUGCACCAAGCGAAGGAUAGAUGGUAAACCCUUGUCUGCUUUGAAAGAAAAAGACCAAUUUUCUUUUUCAAACUUCGACAAACAAGGUAUAGUUGUCAUUUUGAAGCACAAUUAUUUUGUUUUCCAUAACCUAUCCCAAUACCACAUUGGUGCUGUGAAUGGCCAAACAAAGAACUGGUGCAAAGAGUAAACCAAACUGUUUAAAAUUAAUUUUUCAAUAUUGAGCCUGAAAAUUGAGUACAACACAGCAUAGUUUCAGCAGAGAUAGAAACAUCAAAGUACUUCUUUCAGUUUCUUUCGAAAGAGCUAAUUGGUGUGAAGGUGUCCUGCCCUUUAGCCACUGGCCAUGGAAGACAUGCAGACGGACACAAUGGACAAAAAAUAAAUGAUAAGAAAAUACAGCAUUAUAAAUUGGAUGAAAUAAGAUAACUUAAUGUGGUCAUACACUUAUUGUUUCAUAAUGAAGCGCACAAGUAGUAUCCAAUCUUCUGAUUAUAAGUUGGUGUUGUUUCAGAAUACAAUUGAAUAAUACUUGAUCCUCAUGUUCAACAGCAUAACACAUUACAAAGGAAUAAACCCAUCUUCUCUCAUAGGCAUAAAUUCUCUCCAAAUCCAAAAGAAAAAAAAAUGUGUUAUUUAAUCGCCACGAAACACAACCGCAAAUAUUAGACAUUGAUUCGGAACCUGUCUAAUUACAUUACAAAACUUCCAAUUUGAGUAUUCUUUAAAUAUCUGAAAGAUUAAAAUUUAUCUAAAUAAUAAUCUCAUUAGCUGUUAUUAGAAAAUGUUGGGAUCCGGUUAUAAGAUUAUCCCCUUAGCGAUUCGGUUGUUAUUAUUCCAAUCCUCAAAAUUUCACCCAAAUUUGGUUAAGAAAUUGCUGAUAAGUCAUUUAAGGUGAUAUUUCCCGCUGCACUUUUUCAAUUGCAAGUGGUACGAGAGUAGACAGAUACCGAUCACCAGAAUCUUGGGUCGAGUGACUUAUCUCCUUAACGAAUUCUUCAUGUUCAGGACCUCGCUGCGAACUGAAAAUUUGGUAAAUGAAGCAAAAUCUAAGUUAAAAUGAUCUGCUUUAGAAUUUAAGGUUUCUUCAAAACCAAGGCGGAACGUUAGCAAAAAAUGUGCAUUUCUUUUCCUAACUAGAAGAUCUUGUACUGAUAUGAAUGACUUGCCUCGUUUACUUAUUUCUUAUUGGCUCAAAUAAGCUUUGACCAGCAAGCAUGAAGAAAGUUGAACAACAGCCAGUGAAGUAAGUUGUAUUAUCAUCUGGUGAAUCUGUUUUAGCCUGCUGCUGCACACGAGUAAUUUGAUAUGAUAACAAUUUAAAACUACAAUGCAAUAUGGAAACAGAAGUUUUAAGGGGCACUAACAGCUUGCAUUUGGUAACUUUGUGCUGUUGAUGGCUCAGAGUUCCCACGACUUCUUCUCUCAUUCACAAGAAGAAGUGCACAUUUUCUUGUAAAGAACAGAAGCAGCACUCUCACAAAAAACGUAAUAAAGAAUUCGACGAUAAUGCCUGAUCCUAGAGCUGCAUUUAUAGGAAAAGGUUAGUGAGUACAAAUCUGUGAAAUGGAUAGUAAUCAAAAUGACAACUAUCACUUAUUAUGAACUAACUCUGAACUCAUUGGCCUUCUAGUUUACGGUAGCCUCAACGAAUAAAGGUAAUGACAUUUUCUCAGUACAACCUGGACAGCAACCAUAAUGUCCCAUAUCGUUUAAUUUUACUUUUAAAAGAUCAUGUCCUUCACCACUCUAAAUGCAAAGAACAGAUGGCUAAUUCAAGAUCAUUGAUAUUUUCUUUGUGGUGUGCUCUAUGAUUGUGUUUUCCUUCAAAAUUAUACUAUAAACUUCAAAGCAAAAAAUGCACUUGAUAAAAGAGUUGUUGUGCUCUUUACCAAGCUCUUAUGAGCACCUGGUUGACAUUCUCAUGUAUGGGAGACAGUCCCUCUCGAUGGUGGAUGUGAAAGAGACAUUGAGUUUCAAGGCUGCAACCAAGAAAGAAGCAAGUCAUGGGGAAUGAUUGACAGUUAGAGGGAGGCCAGGAAAGAGAGAAAAUGGUAAAGGAAAGAAGAAAAGAUCCAAGUCCAGACCCAAGAAUAUGAAGUGCUUCCAUUGGCAUAAGGAAGGUCACUUCAAGAAAGACUGUCCAUAGAAGAAUUAUAAAAGCAAAGAAACAAAAGAGAAGAUUGGUGAUGCUGUUGUUGUAUCAGAAGGACAAGAAUCUGAUGGUUAUGACUCUACUGGAGUUCUCAUAGUCUCUGAUGGUGCAUUUAGAGGUAAUUGGGUAUUAGAUUAUGGUUGUUCAUUUCAUAUGUGCCCUAAUAAAACCUUCUUUAAGAACUAUGAAACCUAUGAUGAAGGGAUAGUUGUAAUGAGAAAUGAUGCUAGUUGUAGGGUAAUUGGCAGGGGCACCAUUAAACUGAAAAUGCUUAAUGGCACAAUAAGAAAAUUAACAAAUGUUAGACAUGUCCCUGAUUUAAAGAGAAACUUGAUUUCUCUCAGCAUGCUUGACAAAAUGGGGUGUGUUAUCAAGCUCGAGUCAGGUACUUUAAAGGUGUUGAAAGGGUCUAUGGUGUUGAUGAAAGGAAACUUAGACAAUGGCCUGUAUGUGCGCCAGAGGUCUGUAGUCACAGGAGAUGUUGGAGUUUCAAACCAGAAUCUAAACAAAACUUUAUUGUGGCGCUUUAGAUUAGGCCAUAUGAGUGAGAGAGGCUUGAGAGAACUAUCAAAACAAGGAGUCUUAGGUGAAGAUAAAAUAGAGCCCUUGGAAUUUUGUGAGGAGUGUGUCCUAGGCAAAUCCUCAAGAGUUAAAUUCAGCACUGGUGCACAUAUUUCAAGAGGAACUCUAGAAUACAUACAUGCUGAUCUGUGGGGACCUGCACAGAUAGCAUCCUUAGGAGGGGCAAGGUACUUUCUAUCUUUAAUUGAUGACCAUUCCAGAAUGGUUUGGGUGUAUGUGCUGAAAAACAAAGAUGAAGUGUUAAGAAUUCAAAAACUGAAAAACAUUGAUUGAAACUCAGACCAACAGGAAGGUUAAGAAACUCAGAACUGAUACUGGUUUAGAAUUCUGCAACAAGAGGUUUGAAUAUUUUUAGAGCAAGCAUGGAGUCAUGAGGCACAGAACAGUAAGAUAUAUAUCUCAGCAAAAUAGAUUAGCUGAGAGGAUGAACAGAACCUUAGUUAAUAAAGUAAGGUGUAUGCUCAUUUAUUAUAAGCUACCCAUGUCCUUGUGGGCUGAGGCUCUAUCAACAACUUGUCACAUUGUGAACAGAAGCCCUUCAACUGGAAUUAACUUCAAAACACUAUUUGAAUUUUGGUAUGGUAAACCAGCAGAUUAUUCCAGUUUAAAGAUCUUUGGCUGUCCAGCAUAUGCUCACAUCAAACAAGGAAAAUUAGAGCCCAGGGCAUUGAAGUGUGUAUUUCUUGGUUACCUUGAAGGGGUAAAAUGGUAUAAACUAUGGUGCACAUACAUGAAACCUCCAAAAGCAAUCAUAAGCAGAUAUAUAGUAUUUAAUGAAGCUGAGAUGCUCCAACACUCAGUAUCUUUAAAGACUACAAAUGUAGAACUGGAAGAUAAAGAUGAGAGAUCUUAUCUUGAGGUGGAGCUGUCAAACUCAAACCAGAAACAGAAAUCAAGAUCAGAGGCUGGAGAUGUAAUAGACAUGGAAAUACAUGAUACUGAGAAUGAAACAGCAAGUGAUCAGGGGAGAAGUGAAGAUUAUCAGUUAGUGAUGGACAAAGGAAAGAGAGUAAUAAAACCUCCUAGAAGAUAUGCAUAUGCAGAUCUAAUUUCAUUUGCAUUAACAGCAGUGCAUGAAAUAGCAACAGAUGAACCUAGAACAUAUUCAGAAGCUAUUAACAGUGAUAAGGCAGAAGAAUGGAUCAAGGCUAUGGAUGAGGAAAUGAUGUCUUUGAAAAAGAAUCACACCUGGAAUCUCAUUGAAAGACUAGCAAACAAGAAGGUAGUAGGGUGCAAAUGGAUCUACAGGAUAAAGGAAAGAAUACCAGAUGUUGAGCCACAAAGAUACAAAGCCAGGUUGGUUGUAAAAGGCUUCACUCAGAAAGAGGGGGUUGACUUUACAGAAGUUUUCUCCCCAGUGGUGAGAUAUGCUUCCGUGAGGAUCCUGUUAUCUCUAGUGGUUGUACAAGACAUGCAUCUUGAACAGAUGGAUGUGAAGACUGCCUUCCUGUAUGGUGAAAUAGAUGAGAUGAUAGUGAUGUCACAACCUGAAGGGUAUGAGGAUCCAGAAAAGGCUGAUCAUGUAUGUCAUCUAAAGAAGUCAUUAUAUGGACUAAAACAGUCUCCAAGACUGUGGUACCUAAGAUUUGACAGGUUUAUGUCAGAUCAUGGUUUUCAAAGGAGCAGUUUUGACUGCUGUGUCUACUUUAAAACCAUAAAAGAUGGUGACAAGAUCUACCUACUGCUCUAUGUAGACGACAUGUUAAUAGCUUGUAAUGAAAUGGAGUUCAUAAAUGAAUUGAAACAGCAGCUGAGCAAUUCAUUUGAGAUGAAGGAUCUGGGUGCUGCAAAGAAGAUCCUUGGUGUUCAGCUGAAGAGAGACAGAAAGAAUGGUAUCCUAAGCCUAACACAACAAAAAUACAUCAGGAAAGUACUUGAGAAAUUCAAUAUAGAUAAAUGUAAACCAGUACAGACUCCAUUGCCCUUUCAUUUCAGACUGUCCUGUCAACAGUAUCCAAACUCUGAUGCUGAUAAAGCUGAAAUGAAUAAAUUUCCAUAUUCAAGUACUAUUGGAUGUUUGAUGUACGCAAUAGUCCUGACUAGGCCUAAUCUCUCUCAUGCAGUGAGCGUAGUAAGCAAGUAUAUGGCAAACCCAAGGAAAGAUCAUUGGAGGGUUGUAGUAUGGAUCUUCAGAUACCUUGCUGGUACAACUUAUUAUGGUUUGAUCUAUGGAGCUGAGAAAUAUGCAGAGGUUAGUGUGGAGGGUUAUGUAGAUGCAGAUUAUGCUGGAGAUCUGGAUAAAAGAAGGUCUUUAACAAGUUUUCUGUUUAUGCGUAAUGGUUGCACCAUAAACUGGAAGGCUUCACUGCAGAGUGUUGUUGCUCUGUCAACAACUGAGGCAGAAUAUACAACAGCUGCAGAAGCAAUCAAAGAAGCUAUUUGGCUCAGAGGGAUGGUGACAGAAUUGGGAUUUGAACAAAAACAAAUUACAGUUCAUUGUGACAGCCAAAGUGCUAUAUGUCUGAGCAAGAACCAGAUACAUCACGAAAAGACCAAGCAUUUUGAUAUCAAGCUUUACUUUGUCAGAUUGGAAAUAUCAAAGGGUGUGAUUAAGCUGGCUAAAAUACACACUGAUAGCAACAUUGCUGACAUGCUCACCAAAGCUGUACCAGGAGCUAAGCUUGAGUUCUGCUUGAACUCAGCUGACAUCUGCAGGGUAUAGACUGCAGAAAAGAAGUGGAAUGAUGAAUCUGAAGAAUGGAUGAUUUGAGUUCAAGGUGAAGAAUGUUGAAUAUGAACUACAAAUCAGUUUAUAGUUAAGUGCGACAAGUCGGUUGAAGAUUUGUCAAUACCAUGACAUGCCGGUUGACAAUCCUGAGAAGGGUAUAUGACAAGAAUAUCAUGUCAUCUGUGUGUGCAAAGAAGACAUGUGAUUUCGCAUGUGACUCACUUAAACAAAACGGCUACUUGAACUGUCGUUUUAUUACUUCGAAUAACAAAGAUGAAGACACGUGUGAUGGAGGCUUAUCAAAAGUCUGUUAAGCCGUUAAUUAGUGCGGGAAGCUGCUGAUCUUCGUCACUGAACACAGGGGAAGCUUGCUGGUGAUUGAGAGUCCAUCUUGAUCGAGCAUUGCUUAUAUAUACAACUAGGUAUUCUGGAAUAAGUCAUGUUUUUCAUGUGUGGUUAGCUUCUCUGAAUAAGCUUGUACUUUGUAAGACACUCAUUCAAUACAAACUUGGAUUCAUCCUUUCACAGUGGACGUAGGCUUCCAUAGCCGAACCACUAUAAGCUUUCUUUGGGUUAUUCUUUCUGUUCUUAAAUUCUUUCAUUGUUUUGCUUUGAUUGUUGGAUUGUUUAAGCAUCCUGUAACUGAGUAUAGAUCACCUUAGUUUUAGAUACAAGAACCCUUUUUUGAGUGGGUUUUGGUGUGCAGUUAUCAGUUCUUUACUGGUCUUUGGCACAACAAGAACAAUAUAUUCAGGGACUUGAAUAAAUGGAGAAUCAUUAACUGGAUCCACAAAAACCAAAACCGCCAAAUCAUUUGUCCCAUUCUUGUUCCUGGCAGAGACUAGAAUUGUGUCCUCACCAUAAAAGUUUUUGUUUCUGAACUAAAAAAAUGAAAAAAAAAACGAGUCACUAGUAAGGUAUGAAUAAUGUAAAGCUUGAAAAGUCCAUAAGAGUAUUAAUCCAGGAGGUAAUACACGAGAUAUUAAAUCAUAUCGAGUGAGUGAAUAAUACUGGCUGUCACUUCCUUUGUGAAUGGAUGGCCCCCAUUCAAAAAAAUAUUUGCGCAGAGUACAAGAAUUUUAUAAAUUCCACUCUUUUCAGGAGUAUAAGUAACAUCAAAAGCUCUGGCCUGAACUUUCAGUUUGCCGGAAGACUGGAUUCAAGGGGUUUUUUUUUUUUUAUUUUAAAAAAAGCAUCACUCCAGAAAAUCUUAUGUAUGACUUCUCAAAGAAAAUAUGUGAAUUUGUUUCUUUCAGUGUUAGUUGCGUCGACAGACAGCGAGGGAGCAAUUUCUAUCUGGUCAAUAAUGCCAUUAGUUGGUUCUAUUAAUCUUCCAUUUCUAAAACGAUAGGGCUGAACUCUUCGAUAUGAUAUUAUAUUAUUGUAUGUAGUCAGAUAACAACAAUGUAAUAUUAGCUUUAGACUGCUUAUAAGACUUUUAACUUAGAGAUGUUUCUGUGACUAAUUUAUUAUCACAUACAUUAAUCCGGAUCUGCCGAGCCAUGUCAUGUGGGAAUUAAAAACAGAGAGCAGCACAGCAUACAAGAAAAUAUUCUGAAAUGGUGCCCAAAUUCAACAACCAAUAAACAAGCAAACUUGAAUCUUGUAAUUUUUUUUUUAUUCUUUUAUCUAAUAAGCCGGUGGUGUCUAAUCCAAAUCAUACUUGUCUAUCUCAGUACAGCUGCCCGAGAUGGGCCACAUUGCAAUGCUUUUCAAAAUUUCUCUGAAAUAGUUGUAUUUUCCGACACGUAAUUGAAUGAGUUUCAAUUCAAUUAAAUGAUGAUGUUACAGCUCACGCCCUAAAAAGUAACGUACAAUCAUAGAAAUAAAGACGAGGGAAGAUAAUUUUGGUGCACGUAUCUAUAUGUGGGUGAUGCAAAACGAUUCUCCUAGUCCUCAUCCAAUAAAAUUAUAUUCUUAGAUAAUCCGCUUGGAAAGUCUUCCUUUUCAUUCCUAAUUUUUCCUCUCUUCUAUCCUCUAGCUUUAGUUAGCAACAUAAUAACCCGAAAUCAGAACCUCUAAUUCACUCGUAGGCAGUGUUUUACUUUUGAGGAACUGAAUUAACAUGGAGGGCGUACAACACAGAACUGUUAGGGUGAAUGGUAUUAACAUGCACAUUGCAGAGAAAGGUCAAGGUCCUGUGAUUCUCUUCCUUCACGGCUUUCCUGAGCUCUGGUACUCUUGGCGCCACCAGAUCACCGCCUUGGCUUCCCUUGGCUACAGAGCCGUGGCUCCGGACUUACGUGGGUUCGGUGACACGGAUGCGCCGCCUGACGUUACCAGCUACACAUGUUUCCACGUGAUUGGAGACCUCGUCGGACUCAUCGACACUGUGGCUCCCAAUGAUGAGAAGGUGUUUGUUGUGGGACAUGAUUGGGGUGCGUUCAUGGCAUGGUUCUUAUGUUUGUUUAGACCUGACAGAGUCAAAGCUUUAGUCAACUUGAGUGUCGUUUUUAAUCCUUUUGGUUCUAUCAACAACGUGAUUGAGGCUCUGACGGCUUAUUAUGGUGACAAUUACUACAUGCGCAGAUUUCAGGUAACUCGGAUGUACAUUUCUCAAACGAUAUGGCCGUCUAUUAAAAUUAAUUAAUCUUCCGUGUGUAGUACUUAAAAUUAUUAAGACAUAUGAUUUAAUUAUACUGUUAAAUCAUAUGGCUUAAUAAUUUUUUCAAGUUUUAACAAAUUUAAGAGUCUAAAUUUGGAUAUUUGGGAUAUUUUCAUAUAUGAGCAUUGAUCUCGCUCAAGAUAUUGAAUUUAUUAAAAUUCGAAAAAAUUAUUAAAACAUAUGAUUGGAUAACAUUAUGCUAUUAUAUUAUUAAAUUACAUGGUUUAAUAACUUUUAUAGAUAUUAUACUAUUAAACUGUAUGUUUAAAUAAUUUUCUCAAACUUUAAUAAAUUCAGGAUCAAAGAUUAAAAUAUUUGUGUAUGUGCGCGCGCGCUAUAUAUGAUAUUAUAUUAUAUUAUUGUAUGCAGGAGCCUGGAGAGAUUGAAGCAGAGUUUGCGCAGAUUGGUACUGAGACGGUUAUUAAGGAAUUCUUGACAUUUCGGACUCCGGGUCCGAUUAUUUUGCCUAAAGGCAAAGGAUUUGGGCAUCCACCAGAUGCUCCAAUGGCAUUACCCAGUUGGUUGUCUGAGGAAGAUGUUAAGUAUUUCACCGCCAAAUUUGACAAGAAAGGCUUUACUGGAGGAAUCAACUAUUAUAGAAAUAUUAAUCUGUAAUGCUCCCUUAUUCCUCACUCUCUACAUUUGAUACAUAGCUUUUUUAUUUUGUGAAUUUUCAAUUGUGAUAUGAAAUUAUCAGCUAUUAAGUAAAAUUGCAUAUUACAACAUGCAUAUUUAUUAAAUACUAUCAACUUUUAAUUUUUCUUUCACAGCAUCACACUAUCAAACGAAACUAACUAUUGUGAUUUUAAUGUCCACCUGAAGCAAAAUAGUUUCAAAUAUAUCCUCUAUAUAUAUAGAGAGAGAGAGUAAAUAUCCUUUUCGCCAUUGCAGGAACCAGGAACUUCUUGCACCGUGGGCGGGGAGUCGAUUACAAAUUCCGACCAAGUUCAUUAUAGGCGACGUGGACCUGGUUUAUCAUAUGCCAGGGGUGAAAGAAUACAUACACAAAGGUGGGUUCAAAAGAGAUGUGCCAUUGUUGGAGGAAGUAGUGAUAAUGGAAGGAGUUGGGCACUUCAUUAAUCAAGAAAAGGGUGAUGAGAUUAGCAAGCACAUUUAUGACUUCUUCAACAAGUUCUGAUUAGUUCUUUGCAUCUUCAUGCAUAUUUCCGCUUGGGUGUCUUUUUAUUUUAAUAAAGUUGCUGUAUUUUAAUAAAGUUGCUGGGAUGUUCUUGUGCCGGCCUGUUCUAGUUUUUGAUUCAUUAUAAACCAAGCUAUUAGUGGCUUCGACUUGUAAUUUCCGUAUUGUUGCAACAAUCAAAUAAUUUAGAGUGCCUUUGGUAUAUAAAGUUAUCUAAUAUAUAGAUAUUGAUAAAAGAAAUAUAUAUAAUUUCACAAACUAGUACAUGUAUUUAUAUAGUGCUAUAUAAAGUCAUCAUAAAAAUUUAAUAUUUGCAUUCUCUUUAAUUUUUUUUUCUCUCAAUAUAAAUUCUAUAAAUAUUGUAUAAUAUAUAAAUCAUUGUCCCAAACAACUAUUACAAAAAAAAAAAAAUUGUUUCAUCAUAAAUUUUUAAUGCAACAUAGCAUGAAUCGUUUAAAAUAUAGAAAUAAUUAUUACUAUGUAGAGUUAAGUUUCGCAAGAUAAUAUCUAGAAAAAAUAAUCACUUAUUAUAAUGUUUAUUUCAUUCUUAUAUAUAAUUUAAUCAAAUUAGGACUAAAUUUUUUUAUAACUAUAUGAAGAUUAUUCUUAUAUAGAGUACUACUUAAUGAAGUUUUACUAUAAAGUAAAAUAUAUGUAAGCCCAUCUUUUUGGUCUUAUUUAAUUUGUAUUAAAGUUUCAAAUGAAAAGAAGAAACGUGAGGACUUUGAUAAUUAUUAUGCAAAUAAAACAAAAAAGUUGAGCCCAAGUUCAAUUUACAAUGGAAGAAUACGAGAAAUAACAAAAAAGUUGUUUUCUACUCUUGUUCACAAAUUGUGCAUUUACUUCUUGCAUUAGAAAAUUGAAAUUAUUAACAAGUUUAUUUCACAAAAUGAGAGUGGGAAUUGAAAUAGUAGGACUUACCCCAAUUUGGGAAUGAAAAUUCUUAGAGGAUGGAAAUUAGGAUUGGAAAAAAGUCCAGACUGGGUCGUAGGCUUAAAGCCAUGGCACGCAGAGGCUGAGCCUGGAUAUGGGCCACAAAAUUUAGAGUCCGCACAGGUUGGGUUAUGUCAUAAGAUGCCUUACAUAACAUUUUUUUUUCAUUUUGUUAUUUUUGCAAAACAGAAAAUGGCUGACCAUAAAAAUACCAAAUACCCUUUAUUCUUUUCUCAAUUUUUCAAUCAACCUCGUAGGGUUAUGAUGAAAUCAAUAGAGGCUUAAUUGUGGGGAUGUCAAUGGCCAAAUCGGGCUAGGGCUAUGAGUCAGGGUCACCUCGAAAAUUUUGUGUACAUUUUGCUUGAAAUGCAGUUGCAGUGGAGUGGACAUCAUAAGUUCAAGCACUUCCUGGCCUUCGGCGUUUUUCAAUAUCAAAGUUUACAUCCAGGAGGCCCGUUAUACCAGCUGUUAUCUUUUGACCAACUUUUACAGGGCCAACGCCCUGUGGAGUGCCUGCACAAACCGAAUCGAUGGUAAUAAGUCAAACUUCAGUUAUUCAUAAAGACUUGCAUACAAAACUGGGAGCUGAUUUUAAGGAUUUGAAUAUGAUUAUGAAAAUUGGAGAGAAGGAUAUCUUACGAAGUGAACACAGUAAAUAACAAUAAUGACACUAAUAACGUAACUUAUACACAGUGACAAUACACCUUCCUAAGCAUAAUAAGCUCUAACAUAUCAGUUAUCAGUAUUUAUACCAAGUAAAAUUGCACUAAUAUUCUUCACCAAAGCAAAAAUGAAAUUUGGUAACAGAUUCCACUAUCAACUGAUAUGCCAGUUUAUGCCAAGGCAUCAUAAUAUCUUGAAGCACCUAGAAAAAUUAACUUAUAAAGUAUGUUAGUGUUUUUAUUUGAAGGAAAAUGAACUGCAAUACCUGUUAAUAUGACAUCUCCUUCAAAAAGUGUCAUAAUUGAACUUAUGUGGCUAAUUAGAUAUGGUAUCUUAAAAAUCAUAUCCUUAGUGGAGCCUUUCUGUCGAAUCUCUCCAUCAACCUGCAGUGAAACACAUUUAAAGUUAAUCCACCCAGUGAAAAACAAAUUUGAAGCUUUGACAAAAGCCAUAAAGAAAUAUGAGAGUAAAGUGUAAUGAUUAUGCACCUUUAACCAUAGUUCCAAGUUGUGAGGGUCAGGCACUGCUGACUUUGGUAGCUGCAAAUAUAUUUUAAACAAGUCAAAAAGGAGUGUAUUUAGUAAACACAUAACAAAAUUGGCAAUAGAAAAUAAAAUUCUCUUCCUCUCUUCUUUUCUACUAGCAGAUACAAGUAAAGGGUGCACCAAGCGGAGGAUAAAUGGUAAACUCUUGUCUGCUUUGAAAGAAAAACACCAAUUUUCUUUUUCAAACUUCGACAAACAAGGUAUAAUCGCUAUUCUCAAGCACAAUUAUUUCCUUCCCAUAGCCUAUCCCAAAGCCACAUUUGGUGCUGUCAAUGGCCUAACAAUAAACUGGUUCAAAAUUAGGCUUUCAAUAUCGGGCCUGAAAAUUGAUUACUGCACAACAUAAUUUCAGCAGAGACAGAAACAUCAAAGUACUUCAAUCAGUUUCUUACGACAGAGCUAAUUGGAGUGAAGGUGUCCUGCCCUUUAACCACUGUCCACGGAAGACAUGCAGACGGACAUAUUGGACAAAAAAUAAAUGACAAGAAAAUGCAGCAUUAUAAAUUGGAUCAAAUAAGAUAACUUAAUGUGCUCAUACACUUAUUGUUUCAUAAUGAAGCACACAAGUAGUAUCCAAUCUUCUGAUUAUAAGUAGGUAUUAUUUCAGUAUACAAUUGAAUAAUACUCGAUCCUCGUGUUAAAAAAACAUAACACAUUACAAAGGAAUAAACCCAUCUUCUCUCAUAGGCAUAAAUUCUCUCCAAAUCGAAAAGAAAAAAAAAAUGUGCUAUUUAAUCGCCAAGACAUUGAUUCGGAACCUGUCUAAUUUCAUUACAAAACUUCCAAUCUGAGUAUUCUUUAAAUAUCUGAAAGAUUAAAAUUUAUCCAAAUAAUAAUCUCAUUAGCUGUUAUUCGAAAAUGUUGGGAUCCGGUCAUAAGAUUAUCCCCUUAGCGAUCCGGUUGUUAUUAUUCCAAUCCUCAAAAUUUCACCCAAAUUUGGUUAAGAAAUUGCUGAUAAGUCAUUUAAGGUGAUGUUUCCCGCUGCACUUUUUCAAUUGCAAGUGGUACGAGAGUAGACAGAUACCGAUCACCAGAGUCUUGGGUCGAGUGACUUAUCUCCUUAACGAAUUCUUCAUGUUCAGGACCUCGAUGCGAACUGAAAUUUUGGUAAAUGAAGCAAAAUCUAAGUUAAAAUGAUCUGCUUUAGAAUUUAAGGUUUCUUCAAAACCAAGGCGGAACGUUAGCCAAAAAUGUGCAUUUCUUUUCCUAAGUUAAAAUGAUUUGCCUCGUUUACUUAUUUAUUAUUGGCUCAAAUAAGCUUGACCAGCAAGCAUGAAGGAAGUUGAACAACAGCCAGUGAAGUAAGUUGUAUCAUCAUCUGGUGAAUCUGUUUUAGCCUGCUGCUGCACACGAGUAAUUUGAUAUGAUAACAAUUUAAAACUGCAAUGCAAUAUGGAAACAGAAGUUUUAAGGGGCACUAACAGCUUGCAUUCGGUAACUUUGUGCUGUUGAUGGCUCAGAGUUCCCACGGCUUCUUCUCUCAUUCACAAGAAGAAGUGCACAUUUUCAUGUAAAGAACAGAAGCAGCACUCCCACAAAAAACGUAAUAGAGAAUUCGAUGACAAUGCCUGAUCCUAGAGCUGUAUUCGCAGGAAAAGGUUAGUGAGCAACAAAUCUGUGAAAUGGAUAGUCAUUAAAAUGACAACUAUCACUUACUAUGAGCUAACUCUGAACUCAUUGGCCUUCUACUGAUCAAGUUUACGGUAGCCUCAGCGAAUAAAGGUAAUGAGAUUUUCUCAGUACAAUCUGAACGGCAACCAUAAUGUCCCAUAUCGUUUAAUUUCACUUUUAAAACAUCAUGUCCUUCACCACUCUAAAUGCAAAGAACAGAUGGCUGAUUCAAGAUCAUUGAUAUUUUCUUUGUGGUGUGCUCUGUGAUUGUGUUUUCCUCCAAAGUUAUACUAUAAACUUCAAAGCGAAAAAACUUACUUGAUAAAAGAGUUGUUGCAUUAUUGUGCCUCGAAACCUAACUACGUUGGCUUUAAUUGUUACAAUAUAUCCAGGGACUUGAAUAAAUGGAGAAUCAUUAACUGGAUCCACAAAAACCAAAACCGCCAAAUCAUUUUUCCCAUUCUUGUUCCUGGCAGAGACUAGAAUUGCGUCCUCACCAUAAAAGUUUUUGUUUCUGAAUUAAAAAAUGAAAAAAACAAGUCACUAGUAAGGUAGGAAUAAUGUAAAGCUUGAAAAGUCCAUAAGAGUAGUAAUUCGGGAGGUAAUACCCGAGAUAUUGAAUUAUAUCGAGUGAGUGAUAAUACUGGCUGUCACUUCCUUUGUCAAUGGAUAGCCCCCAUUCAAAACAAUAUUUGCGCAGAGUACAAGAAUUUUAUAAAUUCCACUCUUUUCAGGAGUAUAAGUAACAUCAAAAGCUCUGGCCUGAACUUUCAGUUUGCCGGAAGACUGGAUUCAAGGGGAAUUUUUUUUUUUUUUUAAAAAAAAGAAGGCAUCACUCAAGAAAAUCUUAUGCAUGACUUCUCAAAGAAAAUAUGUGAAUUUGUUUCUUACUGUGUUAGUUGCGUCAACAGACGGUGAGGGAGCAAUUUCUAUCUGGUCAAUAAUGCCAUUAGUUGGUUCUAUUAAUCUUCCAUUUCUAAAACGAUAGGGCUGAAGUCUGUUAUAAUUAAUUAGUCUUCGAUAUGAUAUUAUAUUAUUGUAUGUAGUCAAAUAAUAACAAUGUAAUAUUAGCUUUAGACUGUUUAUAAGACUUUUAACUUAGAGAUGUUUCGGUGACAUAAUUUAUCAUCACAAACAUUAAUCUGGAUCUGCCGAGCCAUGUCAUGUGGGGGAAUUAAAAAGAGAGAGCAGCACAGCAUACAAGAAAAUAUUCUGAAAUGGUGCCCAAAUUCAACAACUAAUAAACAAGCAAACUUGUAUCUUAUAAUUUUUUUUUUUUUCUUUUAUCUAAGAAGCCUGUGGUGUCUAAUCCACCUUCAAGUACAUACUGUAUUAGCAAUUAACUUAUUCGUAGUGUACUUUGAAAAGUGUAACUGAAUAUGAUCCUAAAAAACAUAAUGAAUUCAAUCAACAGUAUCUCCCCUGCCAUUCAUUUGAGGAGUCUUCAUAUAGUACAGUGCUGUAUGACAUACAGCCUACUUUUUCCACUUGAACAACCGGUAUUUUACCGGUUGUUCUUUCAAUAAUUUUUUAAAAAUCAUUUUUAAUGCAGAAAAAAUAAAAUAAAAUGAAAAAAAUUAAGGAAAUUUAUAAACAUUUAACUUAAAAAAUAUUUGAGUGAGAAAAAUAUUUUUAAUCUAAAUGAAAGUUAAAAAAAAAGGUAAAAUAAUCAUGUCCCAAUACUUUUGGUUAAAUAUCAAUAUAUUAGGUUGAUGUUUCAAAUUAAUUUCACAUGUCUCUAAUUUUGGUUAAACUUUCUCACGAAUAGGUUCAUUUGUUUAUACUUUCCAAUUCACUAGUUUUGUGCUUAAUAUUCCUAUUAAAUUCGUUAGAUACUAAUAUUUUGGGUUAAAUUCCAAGUAGAUUCGUUUCUCGUUAAAAAAGUUUCUAAAUUUGGUUAUUCUUUCUCCCCUUUUGGUUUAUAUGUUUCAACUAUUAUUCCACUGGUUUUGCGUUUAAUAUUCCAACUAACUUGGUAAGAUUCCGGUUGUUUGGGUUAAAUACCCAAAUUAUUUUUUUUUGGUUAGAUUAGUUCCUGAUUUUGGUUAUUUUUUUUCAUUUAUAGGUUCAUAUAUUUCAAUUUAUUAUUCCACCGAUUUUACAUUUGAUAUUCCUACUAAAUUCGUUAAAUGCCAAAAUUUUGGGUUAUGUUCCAAGUAACUUUCAUUUUCCGUUGGAUGAAUUCCUAAUUUUCAUUACACUUUCUCUCUUAUUGGUUCAUGUGUUUCAACUAAUUGUUACUCUAAUUUUGUGUUAAAUAUUUCCAUUAAUUUGGCAAGAUUCCAAUUAUUCCGGUUAGGUACCAGAUUUAUUUUUCAUAAUUUUAUUUUUGGUUAGGUAAGUUCCUAAUUUUGGUUAUACUUUCUCCCUUAUGGGUCUAUAUAUUUCAACUAUUAUUUCACUGAUUUUGCAUUUAAUAUUCCAAUUAACUUAGUAAGAUUCCGGUUGUUUGGGUUAAAUACCCAAAUUAUUAUUUUUGGUUAGAUUAGUUCCUAAUUUUGAUUAAGUUUUUUCAUUUAUAGGUUCAUAUGUUUCAAUUUAUUACUCCACUGAUUUUACGUUUGAUAUUCCUACUAAAUUCGUUAAAUGCCAAAAUUUUGGGUUAUGUUACAAGUAACCUUAAUUUUUCGUUGGAUGAGUUCCUAUUUUUCGUUGCACUUUCUCUCUUAUUGGUUCAAGUGUUUCAACUAAUUGUUACUCUAAUUUUGUGUUGAAUAUUCCCAUUAAUUUGGUAAGAUUCCAAUUAUUUCGGUUAGUUACCAAAUUUAUUUUUCAUAAUUUUAUUUUUGGUUAAAUAAGUCCCUAAUUUUGGUUAUACUUUCUCCCUUAUGGGUACAUAUAUUUCAACUAUUAUUUAACUGAUUUUGCGUUUAAUAUUCUAAUUAACUUGGUAAGAUUCCGGUUGUUUGGGUUAAAUACCCAAAUUAUUUUUUUUGGUUAGAUUAGUUCCUAAUUUUGAUUAAGUUUUUUCAUUUACAGGUUCAUAUGUUUCAACUUAUUAUUCCAUCGAUUUUACGUUUGAUAUUCCUACUAAAUUUGUUAAAUACCAAAAUUUUGGGUUAUGUUCCAAGUAACUUUCAUUUUUCGUUUGAUGAGUUCCUAAUUUCCGUUGCGCUUUCUCUCUUAUUAGUUUAUGUGUUUCAAGUAAUUGUUACUCUAAUUUUGUGUUGAAUAUUCCUAUUAAUUUGGUAAGACUCCAAUUAUUCCGGUUAGGUACCAAAUUUAUUUUUCAUAAUUUUAUUUUUGGUUAGGUAAGUAUCUAAUUUUGGUUAUACUUUCUCCCUUAUGGGUCUAUUUGUUUCAACUAUUAUUCUACUAAUUUUGGUUUGAACCUUCCCAUUAACUUGGCAAUAUUCCAAUUAUUGGGUUAAAUAGUCAAUGUACUCGUAUUACCAAUAACAAUAAUAUUAAUAAGGUGAAUUAUGUUUAACCCCUUACUAUUUUAGUAAAUAUCAACUUACUAUAUAGUACUAAAAAAUCUUUAUUACAACCCUUAAUCUUUUCUAAUAUUUUGUCUAUAAUCUAAGUCCAUUUUUUUUCUAUUUUCUUCACUUGAAUUUGAUUGUGUGUGUGUGUGUGUGUGUGUGUGUGUGUCUAUAUAUAUAUAUAUAUACAUACUUGAGCGAGUAAUCUUUAUACAUAUUUAUUCUCAUUUUAUCAUUUUAAUUAAUUGUUUUUAGUUAUCAAGUAAAUUAAUGCAUUCAUUUUCAGCUUUGACAGUAGAUUAAAAGUAUAUAUAAAGGUGCGUGCAAUUGCUGUGUUUUUCAAAAAAAAAUUAAUUUUUUAAAAGUUUUGACAGCAUAAAUUAUAAAAAAAAUUUAAACUUACAAAAGUUGAAAUUUUCUUAAUUUAUUUGUGUUGAAUUAUCUUUUUUCUCUUUUUGGGGGGAUCAAUUGAAUUGAUAAGAUUUCUUGAACUUGAAUUUAUUUAUACUUAAAUUUUGAUUUUUGUAAAUGUUAUGCCCAUUUUAUCAUUCAAUUAACCAUAUUUAUUUAUCUUUAAACUAAAAUAAAUCAAGAAUUAAGAUUUUUUUGAAUUCGAAUUAAAUUUUUACCACUCUAUUUUCUUUUCAAAUUAGUUUUAGUAAUUUCCAACUACUUCAACAAAAUAUUUAUGUUAUUAAUUAUAAAUAUUAUUAUAUUAUACUUGUAUUAUUACCACUAUUAUUAUUAUUUGUUUUUUAAACUAUUACUACAAUUAUUAUUACUACAAUCAUGAGAUUUUUUAACAAAAUUUUUUCUUACAAUGAGUAUUCUUCCUUUUCAUUUUUAAAUAUGUAUAUAAUUUUUGAUUUAUAAAAUAAGUUCUUCAAUAUAAUUUUCAGAAAUUUGUUAUGCCCAACAAUAUGGUACGAUGAAAAUCUAACAUUAUAGUAAUAUGAUUUUGCAUGUUUAAUUAAUUUAUCUUUUUCAAAUGGUCUUUUUUACUCAUAAAAUUAUUGACAUUUAUUUGCAAAUAAAAUUAUAACGUCCUCCUAAUUUAUCCGAUGCACUUAAAAAUUACUCAAAUCAAGAGUUUCAUUACAAGAAUGAGAACUUCGAUCACUUAAGCAGUUACUUACAAUAGUAACAUAAUGUGAGGCUUAUUGAAAAGUUAAAAUUGUAAAAAGAGUCGACCCUAAAACCACUUUUGUUCAGAAAUUUUUUUACAAACUUGUGAGAAAAUAACUCUUUAAAAACUAUUAAUAUCAAUAAAACAAUCACAAAAUUAAAUCAAUUCACAGCUUCCAAAAGCUAAAUCAAAUGCUAAUAAUUUGAGAUUUAGAUUUCAUGGGUCUCUGCAUAAAAAAAUACAAAAACCAAAUGAAAUUAGAAAAAAAGGCUGCAAAAAAAUAACAAAAAUAUUCAAAUUUCAAAGGUAUGAUCCAAAUUCUUAGGCAGGAUCAAAUAUCUAUUGUUUUGAACAAAAAAAAAUUGAAACUUAAAUAUAAAAUAACACAAAACUAUAUUCUAAUUUUAACAACAUAUUUUUUUGAUGAUUUUUUAACAACAAUAUUCAAAAUAUAAAAAAAAAAAUUUCUCGACUAGGGUUUCUAACAAUGGAAGAAUGAGAGGUAUUUAUAUUUUGAAUCAAAAUUUGGGGAAAAAAUUAAAAAAUUGUAAAUGUACGCGGUAUUAAAACAAAAUUGCUUUUUAUCUUGGCGGUAGUUUUACCCACCUAAAUGAAACCUAAGUACUUAUUGUUUCACCAAAAAAAUAAUAUAAUUUAAUUUAAAAAAUAUAGAUAUAAAAUUUAAGCUUGUUAAUAUUUUUACAUAAUUUUAUAUUUUUAGUUGUUAUAUAAAUUAACUUAAUUUUAAAAAAUAUAGAUAUAAAUGUAAGAUUGAACUAAUUUUGUGAUCAUUGCACACUAUUCAGUAUACAAAUCAUGAACCAUCAAGUGAGUGUAGUGUUACUCAAAUAAUUUGAUUUAAUUUAGAAAUGUAAUUGUCGUGCUUAAAGUAUAUAACUGUAAAAAUAAUUUAAUAUAACAUUAUUCAAUAUUAGUUGCAUUCAAUUUGUAAUUAUCCAUAUUAUGUACCAUUAUAAAUUUGAUUAAUGUUUAGCAAAAAAAAAUUACUAUACCAAAAAAAAUUAAAUAAAGUAAUUAAUUUGACAUAAUUUUGUAUAAAUCAAUUUGCAUAAGAGAUUGUUUGUGAGUUUUAUUUAAAAAUAUGAAAUAUUAGAUGCUUUAUAUUUGUCUAAUAUAUGAUUUUUUUUUUAGAGGGUAUACAAAGAACAUAUAUUAGCCACUAAUAAUAACAACAACAACAACAUUUGAGGGGUAAGUAUGAUUUUGGUAUAAUAAUUAUUCGAUAGUUGGAUAAACAUUACAAUCAUUUUCGUAGUUAGGGAUUUAAGUCCUUAUAUGUGUAUUGUGGUUUGUGGGAUAUUGAGAUUGAUUUCUUCCAAAUAUUUAGGAAUGAAUUGUUUUUAUUAUAUGUUUAGAUACUUGGAUUUUAAUGUGAUUAAAAGUUGAUAAAGUUGUUUUGAUAGUUUUUUAGGCAAAACAUCAUUACAUUUAUAAAGUAAUAUAAAAAUAGUUUAAUUGAUAUAUAAUUUAUUUUUUAAUUAAUAUAUAGUUUAUUGUAAUUUUUUAUAUUAAAAUAUUAUUCUUAUUAGUACUUAAGUUACAUUUUAAAGUAAAAUAUCAUUAAAUUUAUAACGUAAUAUUAAUAAAAUAAAAUAAUUAUUUUUGUUUAAAUAUAUUAAUCUAUUAAUUUUACUUAAUUAUAUUUUUAUUAGUACAUAAGUUAAAUAUAUUAACUAUUUUUUCAUGAAUUAAAAGAAAAAGUAGUAUUUUCUUUUUUUAAGUUGAGGGGGUCUUUGAUAGUUUUCUAACUUUAGAUUGAUUAUCGUAAUAUUUACCUAACAUGAGGGAGCCAUAUGAUAGUUACCAUUUAAUAUUUGCCUCUUUUAAGCAAUUAAAAUGAGAGUACCGGUGGCCGGUUAUUGGUUGUAUUAAUAAAAUAAUAAAAAGCGGCUGUAUGAGAUACAACCGCUGUAUUAUAAGCGGACCCUCAUUUGAGAACUUGUUUUAUCUAAGAAGCCGGUGGUCUAAUCCAAAUCAUACUUGUCUAUCUCGGUACAGCUGCCCGAGAUGGGCCACACUGCAAUGCUUUUCAAAAUUUCUCUGAAAUACUCGUCAAAAAAAAAAAAAAAAAAAAUUUCUCUGAAAUAUAUAGGUGUAUUUUCCGACACUUAAUUAAAUGAGUUUUAAUUCAAUUAAAUGAUGAUGUUACAGCUCACGCCCUAAAAAGUAACGUACAAUCAUAAGGCCACGCCUAUGUUACAACUGUAGUGAGUUACCACACUUUUUGUCUGUUUGCUAGUAAACCGUUGGGUUCAAAUGAAAGUGAUCCAACGAUCAAUAACUUGACACCUGGACAUUAAUGCUUACCGGCUAAUUCGGUUAUGAAAAGUAAUAAAUUCGAGACCAAAAUUGUGGUGCUAGGUAACAACGCUCUGGUUGUGAAUAACGAAAUUAAAGGAAAGAUAAAAAUGCAACAAAACAGUGGUGUCUGGUAACAACCACGGUGUUAACAAGAAUAAGUUAAUCCAAUUCUAGAGAGUAGCAGCAAACUUACCAAAAAAAUUAUCAGAGACAAUUUAUCAAACACCUAUUUUUGUGCUUAAAACUGCAAAUUUGCAAUCUCAUUACAGACCUAAUCUAUCAUUGUCAAAAAAAUCCAUCAAAAUCAUUAAAAAAAAAAAGUCUUCAAAUAUAAAGAGAAUGGAAAAAAAAAAAAUCCGCCUUUUAACAAUAUUGAUAGUCGAUAGCUGCCGACGCUACCAAUUCUAUACCAGCUAUGUUCGCAGGUCGCUGUCACUUCCAUGGCAAGCAUUUUGAUCUAGCUGCCAUCGUCUGGACUUGAAAUUGCAGGUAAUCGCCUUGCUGCCAUCAUGGAGAUGUAUGAACCAUGGCCAAUAGGCAUCAAAUUCAUAAGCAACACCGCCCACAUUCACCAAGUUCAUGCCAAGCCCACCAGCAACCAUUGAUUAAUGGCAAGUUUAGUGUUUUAAAGUCUAGAAUUUUGUAGACACUCUCGGUUUCUUUUACCGUUAAUUCACUACCACCGCCGAUUUGGUUGAGGAAAAUAAAUGUUUCAGAGUUUACAAGGGUAAUUGAUUAACAUUAUUAAAAAAAAAAAUUGAUAGUGUGGCCUUUUUUAAAAUUGAAAUGUAGAAAGUGGUUAAAUCUGUAGAUUCUCAUUAAAAUUGAACCCAAAAUAUAAUUAAAAUAUUAUACAAAUUCAUUAAAUCUUCAACAUAAUUCUAAACCCACAAAAUGAAUUAAUUUAAAAGGAAAAUACCCAUUAUUUGGAGAAGCACUUACUACCGUACCCAUGUAACAAAUCAUCAAAAACCAACUUGGUUUGGACUUUGGACUCUUCAAUUUCAAUUUGACUCCUCCACCAAAGCACCCAACAACAACUCAACAACUAAAUCACUCGUCCUAAUAGCAUAACAAUCCGGCCGCCGGCUGCCUGCACGUGAGAGGCCAUUUUCUUGGUCAUGGUCGGAAUUCUGGAAUUAAUUCUGCGAUCCUCUUGUAUCGAUUUUCAUCUUCUAUGCUGCUCAAGAAGUGAAAAAAGAUGUCGGUUAAACCCUAAUUACAAUCACUUCCGGUUUCAAUUAGCUGAUGUUUGUCAUCCUCUUAUAUUAAUUUUGGUUUACAGUUGCCUGAAGAAGAGCAUCCAUGUCCGUCGAAUCCUGCUUACCCUUAGUUUUACCUGCAAUUAGAUUUAUGUAAAUUAAAGCAACCGGCUAAACCGUUGACCAGUGGUCGUUUAAUUAUCAAACAAUUAUUUGUGGCCGUUAGAUUAAAUAAUAAGGCAUCCAUCGGCUGUACUAAAUACAGACAAAAAGUAUGAUAUGAUACAACUGUUGUAACAGAGCUGAUCCAAUUAUUGAUCUAAUCUACAGUUAUCACCAGCUGUGGUAUCAUAUCGCUGUAGCACUGGACCCCUAUAUAUGAUGCAAUCAUGCAAAACGAUUCUCCUCGAACUCAUCCUAUAAAGUUAUCUUUACCAGCAAUCCAUUCUUGGAUAAUCCGCUUGGAAAGUCUUCCUUUUCAUUCCUAAUUUUUCCUCUCUCUUCUAUCCUCUAACUUUAGUUAGCAACAUAAUAACCAGAAAUCAGAACCUCUAAUUCACUCACAGGCAGUGUUUUUACUUUUGAGGUACUGAAUUAACAUGAAGGGCAUCCAACACAGAACUGUUAAGGUGAAUGGUAUUAACAUGCACAUUGCAGAGAAAGGCCAAGGUCCCGUGAUUCUCUUCCUUCACGGCUUUCCUGAGCUCUGGUACUCUUGGCGCCACCAGAUCACCGCCUUGGCUUCCCUUGGCUACAGAGCCGUGGCUCCGGACUUACGUGGGUUCGGUGACACGGAUGCGCCGCCUGACGUGACCAGCUACACAUGUUUCCACGUGAUUGGAGACCUCGUCGGACUCAUCGACACCGUGGCUCCCAAUGAUGAGAAGGUGUUUGUUGUGGGACAUGAUUGGGGUGCGUUCAUGGCAUGGCUCUUAUGUUUGUUUAGACCUGACAGAGUCAAAGCUUUAGUCAACUUGAGUGUCGUUUUUAAUCCUUUUGGUUCUAUCAACAACGUGAUUGAGGCUCUGAGGGCUUAUUAUGGUGACAAUUACUACAUGUGCAGAUUUCAGGUAACUCGGAUGUCCAUUUCUCAAACGAUAUGCCCGUCUAUUAAAAUUAAUUAAUAUUCCGUGUGUAGUACUUAAAAUUAUUAAGUCAUAUGAUUUAAUUAUAUUGUUAAAUCAUAUAGCUCAAUAAUUUUUUCAAGUUUUAACAAAUUUAGGAGUCUAAAUUUGGAUAUUUGGGAUAUUUUCAUAUAUGAGCAUUGAUCUCGCUCAAGAUAUUGAAUUUAUUAAAAUUCGAAAAAAUUAUUAAAACAUAUGAUUGGAUAUCAUUAUGCUAUUAUAUUAUUAAAUCACAUGGUUUAAUAACUUUUAUAGAUAUUAUACUAUUAAACUGUAUGUCUAAGUAACUUUCUCAAACUUUAAUAAAUUCAGGAUCAAAGAUUAAAAUAUUUGUGUAUGUGUGGGCGCGCUAUAUAUGAUAUUAUAUUAUAUUAUUGUAUGCAGGAGCCUGGAGAGAUUGAAGCAGAGUUUGCGCAGAUUGGUACUGAGACGGUUAUUAAGGAAUUCUUGACAUUUCGGACUCCGGGUCCGAUUAUUUUGCCUAAAGGCAAAGGAUUUGGGCAUCCACCAGAUGCUCCAAUGGCAUUACCCAGUUGGUUGUCUGAGGAAGAUGUUAAGUAUUUCACCGCCAAAUUUGACAAGAAAGGCUUUACUGGAGGAAUCAACUAUUAUAGAAAUAUUAAUCUGUAAUGCUCCCUUAUUCCUCACUCUCUACAUUUGAUACAUAGCUUUUUUAUUUUGUGAACUUUCAAUUGUGAUAUGAAAUUAUCAGCUAUUAAGUAAAAUUGCAUAUUACAACAUGCAUAUUUAUUAAAUACUAUCAACUUUUAAUUUUUCUUUCACAGCAUCACACUAUCAAACGAAACUAACUAUUGUGAUUUUAAUGUCCACCUGAAGCAAAAUAGUUUCAAAUAUAUCCUCUAUAUAUAUAGAGAGAGAGAGUAAAUAUCCUUUUCGCCAUUGCAGGAACCAGGAACUUCUUGCACCGUGGGCGGGGAGUCGAUUACAAAUUCCGACCAAGUUCAUUAUAGGCGACGUGGACCUGGUUUAUCAUAUGCCAGGGGUGAAAGAAUACAUACACAAAGGUGGGUUCAAAAGAGAUGUGCCAUUGUUGGAGGAAGUAGUGAUAAUGGAAGGAGUUGGGCACUUCAUUAAUCAAGAAAAGGGUGAUGAGAUUAGCAAGCACAUUUAUGACUUCUUCAACAAGUUCUGAUUAGUUCUUUGCAUCUUCAUGCAUAUUUCCGCUUGGGUGUCUUUUUAUUUUAAUAAAGUUGCUGUAUUUUAAUAAAGUUGCUGGGAUGUUCUUGUGCCGGC
rnacentral:lncRNA from 1 species